UGAGUCGGAUCACUAUUCUUCCAGUCUCUCGCUGCUUUUGUUCUCCCAUUUCCAUUCAGCCACAGCUGCUGAAGAGAGGGGACUAGCUGGUUGGGAAAUCACGCAGUACGUAUAGUAGCGGACCCGGCCGUCACAUGCAAAGCGCCGUCUGCACAGGGGAUACGCGGCACUCCGUAGUUACGUAACUGGACUACUUUUUUUCUAUUAUUGUUGGGCUUUUUUCACGCUUUUUUUCCUAUUGCACCGAAACUCCUCACCCUCUCUAAAGUCAAAAUGGAGAACGACGACAAGUACCUCCCCGAGCUGCUGGCGGAGAAGGACAGCCUGGACUCGUCGUUUACACACGCCAUGAAACUUUUAAACGCAGAAAUUGACAGAAUCCAGAAAGGCGAGACUAAAAAGGAGACAGAAACAUACCUGGAUCUUUUCACAACAAAGAACAUCAAGCUUAAGGAACGAGUGCUCAUACCUGUCAAACAGUACCCGAAGUUCAAUUUCGUGGGGAAGAUUUUGGGACCUCAGGGCAAUACAAUCAAACGUCUGCAGGAGGAGACCGGAGCCAAGAUCUCUGUGCUGGGCAAAGGAUCCAUGAGAGACAAAUCCAAGGAGGAGGGGCUGAGGAAAGGUGGCGAGCCCAAGUACGCCCAUUUGUCUAUGGAGCUGCACGUAUUCAUCGAGGUGUUUGCACCGGUGCCAGAGGCCUACCUGCGCAUGGCACACGCCAUGGAGGAAGUGAAGAAGUUCCUGUUUCCUGAUAUGAUGGAUGAUAUCUGCCAAGAGCAGUUCAUGGAGAUGGGCUACCUGAACGGAGGCCAGGAGCACGGAGCCCGAGGUCGAGGGGGCCCGCCGGCCAGGGGCCGCGGAGUCCCCCUUGCUGGAGCACACAGGGGUAGAGGAAUGCCCCCUCGCGGUGCUGCCGCCAGGGGGGGUGUGACUCGAGGUGGCCCAGCCAGAGGUGGUGCAGUGAGGGGCGCCCCAGCAGGGAGAGGAGGACCUCCUACAGCGCCCGCCAGGGGAGCUGUAGCACCCCGCGCCAGGCCCCCAGUCGGCGGACCCCCCCAGAGGAUGGCGCCUCCGCCCCACCAGCACACCGCUGCUGCAGCAACCGAGGGCUACGAGGAAUAUGGCUACGAUGAGAGCUACACAGACCCGGCCUACGAGUCAUACGACAGCUAUUACAGUCAGCCGCAGGCAGAGCCAGAAUACUAUGACUACGGACACGGAGAGAGCACAGAGUCAUACGAGUCGUAUGGCCAAGAUGACUGGAAUGGGACCCAGCGAACAGUUCCAGGGAAGGCCCCUCCCCCCUCCAGAGGUGCCAAGACGCCUUACCGGGAGCACCCAUACCGACAGUACUGAAGCAGACUCACCACCCUUAACGUGUUGCCCUGACUACCGCCUGUCUACCACGGCAGCUCUUGCUUUAAGCAGCCCGACAAAAUAAAAUUCUGAAAUGGCCUUUUUUAAACAGUCAGACGUAGGUGUUUUCCUUUGUUUCUCAUUCAAAACCGCAUUUUAAAUCUAAAUGAAUGUAUUGACGUCUGAGACUUUAACCCUACUAAAUGAUGUCUUGAUUGAUUAUCAAAAGAGCACAACUUAUUCUUUCUCUCUCUUUCUAUACUUUUUAAAAAGGACCCAGAGGUAAGACCUCUAAAAUAACCUGGAUAGCCUUCUAAUGUGUAUAGAGUUCUAAAGCAUUGAAUGCCUGGGUAUGUAUAAGACUUUUUCAAUCCUCUUACCUGUGGUCGUAAUCGUUUUUAUAGCAUCUGAAAAUUAACUGAAUUCAAACCACCAUUCAGGUCUAGGCUUCAUUAUCAUGAAUGACGCUGGCGCGAUGGCUACUUUAGUACAGAGUAAUGGCAGUGCAAUGGAGAGGAUGGUUAUAACCUAGAGAACUCCACUGUAAAGGCACAGCUAUCGGUCACCGAGUGCCCGGAGACUGACAGUCUGCUGAAGAAAGACCAUAAAAAUCUCAGUGAAGCCGUGCGCAGGAGCAGCUCAGCAUGAAGGAGGUGGUCAGACGAAGCUCUCGGGGCGCCCUGUUGGAUGGAGUGGCCCAAGGCCCAGUUCUGUUCCUGGCAGGGACGAGUUGUGCUGGCCAGCUGCCAAGUUGACCCACGGGAGCCAGCUGAUGUAGUGUGUGGGAGAGGAGCUGGCUCAGACUCCCACAGGAACAGGACUAAGACUGCAGCUGGUCAGCGAAGACAUUCAGCUCACCGGGAAUCCAGAAUAAUCAGAGACUAACGAACGGCUCUCAUGUUCUGUGGACUAUUUUCUGCUAUUUCUACAUUUCACGUCAAUAUUGAAUUAUACGCAUCCUCGUGUAUUAUCCUCGUGUAAUUAUUUUGAAGACACAAACUUGAAGCCAUUGCUGAUUGCAUGCUGCUGUACAUAGCUUCCGUGGACCACCCCCUCUUCCAACAAAUGUAAUUGUUACAGCCUAAUUUAGCAUAAAAUGAGCACUCCAGUUAUAGUAGGCUGUGAAAUUGUUUUUAAUUUCUAAUAACCCUUGAAUUAGAUGUGAAAAGAAUGUUACUUUCUGCAAGGCAAGCUGGAUUCUCCCAUUAGAGGAGAAUUGUGUGACAUCUGCAUUUCAAGUAUUUGAUAUUUUAAACAUUCUGGCUGCAUGUUGUUUAGUAUACAUGCCUUAUUGCCGCGUGAAAUUAGACUCAGUGCUCGAGAGUUAAAGAUGCCCGGAGAGUGUGGAUCGCUAUCUCGGUACGGCCGAGUUCACCGUGAGCUCACACAUGCCGCUGCAUCUUGGCACUGCGCGGCCUGUGUAGCCCUGAGGAUAGCAAAUGCUAAUGCAGCAGCCUAUUUGCAUGUACUCACAUGUACCCUCCCUGCAAAUGUGCAACACUUUCAUAACUGAUGCUGGCCUGUUCCCGGCAGUUCAGCAUCCAAGUAUGGUAAUUCAAAGAGAUCGACACAGGAGGAGAGCUGCAUGUGAGAAAGGGACAGAGGGUGAAGACAGACAUUACUAACUUCUAUCAAUCUAUCCAUCAUGCCUCUGUUGAUUUGAUUCCCCUCUAUGCCAUUUUCUGCCCUUAUAACUGAUGAUAUUACGGCAGCCUGUAGUGCCGAGUUACAUUUAGAGGUCAAAACUGUACUUUCCUGUAUUAAAAACACAUUUCUCUGUUCUGAUUCGCUGGUCAGAGGCAGCAUCAGCCAAGUCAGAGGCUCCAUUUAGUUUAUUGAAAAAGCUAGCAGCUUAGAGGACAGAACAUUAGAUAUUAGGAUAGAAACCAUCAUUUGAGAUGAAAUGUCAACGGGCCAUAUCCAAAACAGAUCAUUUUUCAGUCUUUAUGUGCUAUUAUGUCUAAAAUAAUGAUUUCUGUGUCUCCUAUAAUCUAAUGAAAGAUAAGUGAUGUGGAAGCCAUCUCCUCUGUUUGAAUCGAUCGAACUGUCAAGAGCGCAAGGGUGGAAAAGAAAGUAAAUGUUACUGUGCAAUGAUCAAUAAAAGUAGACUUGAAUAUGA